GGUACAAAAACGGCGCCGGCUACUGCGUCAACCUGGCGUUUGGCUUCGGCCUGAUGGACGUUCUGGCGAUGGUGGAGUUGGCCGACCCGGACACCUGGCAGCAUGUGGGUGAGCAGAAAACGUGCAAGGUCAGCGCGGUCAAGAGCACCCAGUUCCCACAAACGCUGAAUGCCAGACACCAAGUUGAGAUUGAGUUUACGACUGACGGCUGUGAGGGUCAAGAGAACGAGAUCAACUUCUUGGAGCACGUGCAGGUUGUCAUUGAUCUUGACUAUUCACGGAGAGGAAACAUUUACGCUGAGCUGGAAUCUCCUAUGGGCACUGUGACGCCUGUGAUGCUGGAGCGGAAGUACGACAGCUCAUCAAAGGGCUUCAAGCAGUGGUCGCUGAUGAGCGUGCACACUUGGGGGGAGAACCCAGAGGGUACCUGGAAGUUCCGGGUCGCCGACAGGUCAAACGAAAGCUCCAAAGGCAAGCUGAACAGCGCUGAGCUGGUUCUCCACGGCACUACGGAACAGCCUGAAUAUCGCAAGGACAACCCCAAGGUUUGCGGAGCUCCCACAGAAAUAGCGACCGAUGACAAUAGCCAUGAGGUGGAGCAGACCAUUGGGAAGCUGCAGAGUCUACUCAACACUGAGAACGGAGCACAGAAUGCUUAUGUGGAAAAUGCUUUGGAAAACAUCAUAGACAAAGUUGAAGAAGCUAAACAACCGACUACAGAAAGCUCAUAUAGUCAGCAAAGUGUAUUGGGAGAAAUUCUUAGAAAACUUAUAUCUUCUCAGUAA
rnacentral:sRNA from 1 species